rnacentral:lncRNA from 1 species
AUGAAAAGAGAAUUUUCUUCUGAAGAAUUAAGCAAAGCUUCAGAAAGGAAGAUGGCUAUUUCAAAAUGAGAUUGAAGAUAAAGCAGUGUGAUUUCUCAGUACCUUGGAUCAGUGAGACUGAAACCAGGCUACACCCGCUUUUGUUGCUGCAAAAUGUGAAGUUGUUUUUGCAGUCAAGGAUGUGCACUUACAAAGUCCUUAUCAGGACUAGCCCAGAAGGCUGCACAGCUUUGCAGAACCUGCUCCUUACAACAGCCCCUAUUGCAAAUCCUUCGAAAGCAGCAACUGAAGAGAUUCCCCUGCAGAGAGGGAGAUGGCGAAACUAGAAUUGAGCAGGAAAACAAACCUACCCAGCGCGAUGGAAGAGCUGAGGUAUUCAGCUCGGGUCAUGGAAGUUUGCAUGGAAUUCCUUGGGCGUAGAGGAGAUAACCCAACUACCACAAGUAUCUGAAGUAAUAACGAAACAUUUCAGUGAGAACUAAGUUAAAUUAGAGUCCAC